rnacentral:rRNA from 1 species
UGCCUUGAUGUGGGGGAUAACUAUUGGAAACGAUAGCUAAUACCGCAUAAUGUCUUCGGACCAAAGAGGGGGAUCUUCGGACCUCUCGCGUCAAGAUUAGCCCAGGUGAGAUUAGCUAGUUGGUGGGGUAAGAGCUCACCAAGGCGACGAUCUCUAGCUGGUCUGAGAGGAUGAUCAGCCACACUGGAACUGAGACACGGUCCAGACUCCUACGGGAGGCAGCAGUGGGGAAUAUUGCACAAUGGGCGAAAGCCUGAUGCAGCCAUGCCGCGUGUAUGAAGAAGGCCUUCGGGUUGUAAAGUACUUUCAGUCGUGAGGAAGGGUGUGCAGUUAAUAGCUGCAUAUCUUGACGUUAGCGACAGAAGAAGCACCGGCUAACUCCGUGCCAGCAGCCGCGGUAAUACGGAGGGUGCGAGCGUUAAUCGGAAUUACUGGGCGUAAAGCGCAUGCAGGUGGUUCAUUAAGUCAGAUGUGAAAGCCCGGGGCUCAACCUCGGAACCGCAUUUGAAACUGGUGAACUAGAGUGCUGUAGA